rnacentral:rRNA from 1 species
UACAGAGACUGCAAGCGUUAUUCGGAUUCACUGGGCGUAAAGGGUGCGCAGGCGGCCAGGUGUGUUAGGCGUGAAAGCCCGGGGCUUAACCCCGGAAUUGCACCUAAAACUACAUGGCUAGAGCAUUGGAGAGGGUAGCAGAAUUCACGGUGUAGCAGUGAAAUGCGUAGAUAUCGUGAGGAAUACCAGAGGCGAAGGCGGCUACCUGGACAAUUGCUGACGCUCAGGCACGAAAGCGUGGGGAGCAAAAGGG